UGCAAGUCGAGCGGUAACAGAUCUAGCUUGCUAGAUGCUGACGAGCGGCGGACGGGUGAGUAAUGCAUAGGAAUCUGCCCGAUAGUGGGGGAUAACCUGGGGAAACCCAGGCUAAUACCGCAUACGUCCUACGGGAGAAAGGGGGCUUCGGCUCCCGCUAUUGGAUGAGCCUAUGUCGGAUUAGCUAGUUGGUGAGGUAAAGGCUCACCAAGGCAACGAUCCGUAGCUGGUCUGAGAGGAUGAUCAGCCACAUCGGGACUGAGACACGGCCCGAACUCCUACGGGAGGCAGCAGUGGGGAAUAUUGGACAAUGGGGGCAACCCUGAUCCAGCCAUGCCGCGUGUGUGAAGAAGGCCCUCGGGUUGUAAAGCACUUUCAGCGAGGAAGAACGCCUGGCGGUUAAUACCCGCCAGGAAAGACAUCACUCGCAGAAGAAGCACCGGCUAACUCCGUGCCAGCAGCCGCGGUAAUACGGAGGGUGCAAGCGUUAAUCGGAAUUACUGGGCGUAAAGCGCGCGUAGGUGGCUUGAUAAGCCGGUUGUGAAAGCCCCGGGCUCAACCUGGGAACGGCAUCCGGAACUGUCAGGCUAGAGUGCAGGAGAGGAAGGUAGAAUUCCCGGUGUAGCGGUGAAAUGCGUAGAGAUCGGGAGGAAUACCAGUGGCGAAGGCGGCCUUCUGGACUGACACUGACACUGAGGUGCGAAAGCGUGGGUAGCAAACAGGAUUAGAUACCCUGGUAGUCCACGCCGUAAACGAUGUCGACCAGCCGUUGGGUGCCUAGAGCACUUUGUGGCGAAGUUAACG
rnacentral:rRNA from 1 species